rnacentral:rRNA from 1 species
AACGGUCAUACCAUGCUGAAUAUACCGGUUCUCAUUAGAUCACUGAAGUCAAGCAUCAUUGGGCGCGGUCAGUACUUGGGUGGGUGACCACCUGGGAACACCGCGUGCCGUU